GAGACUAAAAGGCCAAGUUAUAUAUUUUAGGUUAAAAGGGAAGUUAGAUAGAUAAUUAUAAGAUUGAGAUUGCUUAUGUAGAAGUAAAAUUUGAUGCAUAGGAAAAAUAGGUCUGAAGAUCUUUGAAGAUUGAAUCUUCGAUAACCUAGGGGGAAACUGGGAUUAGAUACCCCAUUAUUCUAGGAUGUAAAUAGAUAGCAAUAUACCAGAGAACUACGAAAAACACGUUUAAAACUCAAAGAACUUGGCGGCAUCUUAAACUAUUUAGGGGAACUUGUCUCUUAAUCGACAAUCCACGUGAAAUUUACCUAUAUUUGUAAAACAGUCUGUAUACCGUCGUCGACAGGUAACUUUCUAAGAAAAAAGAAGUUAGCAAAAUAGUUAAUUGCUUAAGCUAAGACGUCAGAUCAAGGUGCAGCUAAUGUAUAGGAGAGGAUGAGUUACAAUUAUAGUAAUUAUAAUUACGGAGUAUAAAUGGAAGUUAUUUAUAUGAAGGGGGACUUAAAAGUAAUAUUAAAUAUAGAAAUAACAUGAAUUUAAGGCUCUAAGAUGUGC
rnacentral:rRNA from 1 species